GCCUAGCUAGCUCAAUCAGAAGAGUAUGUGACUCUUGAUCUCGGUGUCAUGAGUUCAAGACCCAUGUUGGGUG
rnacentral:tRNA from 1 species